GGGAGAACGUAUUUCCGUCUGAGUCCAUGAUACUGAGCGCUUUUCUGCCUAGAGGUAAGUUGCCGCUCUCAGUUCGUGUACAUUAUAAACUAAUGUAUGGAUAGACCAACAAAUUGAUCAUUAAAAUAUUCAUGGAAGUAACAUGCAUAGGCCUCAUGUUUAUGUCAUGAGGUCUUUUGAAAAAUAGCAUUUAGGCAGUGUUUUUCAGCUUUUUUUAACGCCAUGCCCUCGGGCCAAAUAUGAGGACACAUAAUCGGGUCCACAUAUGAGGACAAUUAAAUAAACUCCAAUAUUUUGCUUAUCAUGGUAAUAUUCUCCAAACCACAUUGGUAAGAUAUGUUUCGUGAAACAUUGAAACCUGAUUAAAAUUGUGCUUUUCCCCUCCAGAUUUGCCUGCACAUUGCACCACGACAUUGCACCACAUAACACACACAUUUCGAAACCAACGCAGAACUCCUCUCUGUCUGUCUGUCUUUGUCUGACUGACUGACUGAUGGUCUGUCUGUCGGACUGACUGAUGGUCUGUCUGUCUGUCUGUCUGUCUGACGGACCGUCUGUGUCCUUAUUUUUUCUUGUCAGGUAGGUUCACUGCAAUGCUUAAAAAAAAUCAAAUUUCAUAUCCGGGUCUAUAAAAACAGUUACUAAUGCGCUAUAUUUGUGUGUGUUUCUACCCUAGAGUAUGUCUGAGAGAAAUAAAGAAGGUGUACCACUGCUGAAAUUGACGGACCUGGAAACCGGGAACAGGGUUGCUUGCUAUGGGCCAGAAAAAUACCUUGAUACUUGCCUUUGUCAAACAUUUAUGGAAGCUUCUUUUUUUUUCUUCUUUACAGAUCAAUUUUUUUUGAAAAUAAAAAUCAAUGAUGCAAA